AUGAGGAAGUAUGUCAUAGUGCCCAACAAUGCAGCAAAAAGGGAGAAAUGGAGCAGGGUUGAGUAUGAGGUGAACAUAAGUGAAGACAAAGAAGAAUUUACGUGUGAAUGUGGACAGUUCAAGCACACUGGGAUGUUAUGCUGCCAUGUUCUAAGGGUGAUGGAAAUACUUCAUGCUGAGGAAAUCCCGGCUAAUCAUAUAUUGAAGCGGUGGACAAACGACGUGAGGGACAUACUACCCCAACAUCUGGUUCAGUACCAGAGAGAUGAUCCAGUUAACCUGUCAUUCACGUGUAGGCACUCCACCUUGUACUUGAAAGCCAUGGAUGUAGUACGUUUGGGUGAUGCAAGUGCAGAGGCUUUCGAUCACAUUUAUGUUGGUCUGGAUGCUUUAAUGGUGAGUGGAACACCUUUGGCCGAGAGGAGGGAUGGUCUGGAUUUUGAAGACCGCAUGGCCGGCUUAGUUCCUGGUACAUUACCUAGGAACGGAGAGAUUGCUUGUGUUGGCAAGCAACGAAAUUGCCGAAAAAUGCAUUAG
rnacentral:rRNA from 1 species